ensembl:lncRNA
UUCAUGAAGGCUUUGUACGGUUCUUCAUACCGCUCGUUAUUUUUCAAUCUUUUCUUUAGGUGCUGCAGUAGAACUGUUGCCAGCUUCUUGUUGUCUGGUAGCAGAGGUGGCUCUGUACUCUUGAAAGGAAGGGGCAUUUCAUAGUGUCCAUCUUUCCUUUGAGUUAUGUUGUCACCCAGGAGCUGAAUGAAGCGAACGUCGUCUUGUGACACAUACUUGUCUUUAUCUGCAUACUUCCUUUCAUUGAAGUCUGAUUCCAAGACCUUCAGCACGUCAUUGGUUGAUGGCGCUGGUAUUUCCUUCACUGUCACUCGAUGGACGAACCUCUGGUUUCCCUGGCGAUCCAGAUGUGGAUUGGAUUAGCCUACGAUGCUCCAGCCGAGUUCCGUUCUCUGGGCGAAUGGAUCAUUUUCGCCUCCUAUGACGACUUCCUGGGGGGCUAGCGCCAACGGGCAAUCGUUUCCAAUUAACAGUCCCACCUCACAGUCCUUCAGCAGUGGAAGUUUGUUUGCUAGAUGCUUUAGAUGAGGCCAGAGCAGCGCUGUUUCGGAAGUCGGAAUGUAGGACUUGUCGACCGGGAUGAAACCACGAGUAUAGGCUUGGCGCAGCUGAAUCUGUUUUCCAGACUCUAGUCCUCGAACUUGUAGACCACAGACACUUUUGCUUGCUAUGCUACAGCAAGCAAAAGACUGUCAUGGAACAGCUGUCAUGGUGCUCAAUUUAAGCUGUACUGGUUUUGUCUCCACGUUCAGCUCUUCGAGUAGGUCUUCCAAGACGAAUGUCGAAUCACUCUGCGUGUCUAGAAGAGCAUACGUUAUAACUUCUUUCUGUGGUUCAUUUGCAGAUGACAUGAAAACAGGGACGAUGCUUGAUGUGGCAAAGACGCGCUGCGUCACUGCAUGGGACGUCACUUUGAUCUCUUCCUGACUAACGUCUUUAUCUGUGGAAGUGGACUGUUUCUCUUUUGCUUCCACAGAUCGGUUCUCUCUCUCUUCAUGUAGACAGGUGGGGUGACGUCUGCUGCAUAUGACACAAGUGUGUCGCGUUUUGCAAUCCUUACUGUUAUGUCCCUUUCUCAAACAUCCGUAGCACAAAUUGUUUUCCCGUAUGAAGGCUUUCUUAUCUUCCAGAGAUUUUGCUGCAAAUGUAGGGCACUUUACGACGCCGUGCAUCUCAUCUUUGCAGAUAGGACAAGGUGGCUUCGACUUUGUGCUGAACACUUUCUCAACAUUUUCUGUGGGAUUGUUCCUUUUAGUGUUUGUGUGAAUAAGGCUAUCUUUCUCAUGAGAUGCUAGCGCUUUGGCGUGCGCUUGUGGAGGCUGGUAUGCGUUGGCCAUUGGAUUAAGCUGGCUUUUGGAUUCAACUGUGAGAUCAGUCUCUUUUAGACAGUCUCUGAAGUCAUGUUCAAAGCUCUCGUAUGCGUUUACUCUCGCCUCUGCUAUUCUUACUUCUGACUCUGCUUGAAUUUGCUGUAGUCUUUUCUUUUCCUGACGCAUAUUUGCCUCUAUCCUUUUAAGAGCUACUUGCCUUUCUUCUUCUAACCUUUUGAGAACUAGCUGCUUCUCUUCUUCUAACUUGCUAAGAACUUCUUCUUGAGCUUGUAUUUGAUAUACUGCUUUAGCCUUUUCUUGUUGCGCUGCGAGUUCUGCUCCUGCAUCUAGAUGUUUGCUUGAGCCCUGGGAGUGGAUGGAAUUUUCUGCCAGAGAGAGUACAGUAUCUGUCUUUGUGUGUCCGAAGAUAGAUCCAUACUCAUCCUUCUUAAGUGCCAUCCUCACUCGUAGUUUCUCAAGUUCUGGAUUGAAGACCUCAUCUACAGUUUCAAGCCGCUUCUCUAUUAUUUCGCUGAUCUCUGCAGUGAGUGCUAUACAAGCAUCCAUUUUCGGUACAAUGUCUGGUGUGGCAUCAUGGUUGCGUUGAAUGGGCUCAUAACGUUCACUUACUGCACUGUGUCGCGGCUCGGAUCUCUGCCUGUCUAACUGACAUCUCUCAGUGGAUGUCCGCCCACCAUCUGAAAAUCAACCUCGACAAGACUGAACUACUUCUCUUUCCGGGAAAAGAUUCUCCGACCCACGACUUGACGGUCAA